UACGUAGGGUCCGAGCGUUGUCCGGAAUUACUGGGCGUAAAGAGCUCGUAGGUGGUUUGUCACGUUGUUCGUGAAACCACAGCUCAACUGUGGGCGUGCGAGACGAUACGGGCAGACUAGAGUACUGCAGGGGAGACUGGAAUUCCUGGUGUAGCGGUGGAAUGCGCAGAUAUCAGGAGGAACACCAGUGGCGAAGGCGGAUCUCUGGGCCAUUACUGACGCUGAGGAGCGAAAGCGUGGGGAGCGAACAGG
rnacentral:rRNA from 1 species